AGAAUCAACGCUGGCGGCGUGCCUAACACAUGCAAGUCGAACGAGAAAGUGGAGCAAUCCAUGAGUAAAGUGGCGCACGGGUGAGUAACACGUGACUAACCUACCCUCGAGUGGGGAAUAACCUCGGGAAACCGGGGCUAACACCGCAUAACAUCUACGGAUCAAAUGCGUAAGCAGCUUGAGGAGGGGUCGCGGCUGAUUAGCUAGUUGGCGGGGUAAUGGCCCACAAGGCAGUGAUCAGUA
rnacentral:rRNA from 1 species